GCUGGGAACAGGCUGGGCUGUACACAAAGAGGAUCAGGAACCUCAGGAGAAGGGAUGGGGCGGGAGCAGGGAUGGACCCGGGAACCACAGCCACCAGGGCACCCAGUCCUGGGUCUGAUUCACAGCCCCUGUCCAUUCUCUAUUCAUUAUUUUCUGAUUAUUAACAUAAUAAAUAGGCUCAGUCCCAAACCACAGCAGAACUUUUGCUCUCUCCACAGGCUCCUGCCCCCAGUAUUCCCCACUUACUGGAAAGCUGAAGCCCAAGAAGGCUGAUCCCCUGACUGAGCUACCAAGGCCUCCCACUCAGAUCCCUGGAGGACACCAGUCCCCUCCCUGGUCUCCCAGCCGCCACCCUCAUCCCCUGCAGUCAGCUCCAUCCAGCUGCUGAGGAUUCUGCGAAAACCUAGAUUCCAUCAUGACCCUCGGGUGUUCCACUCCUUCCCGGGGCUCCCAAGGCCAUACCAAGCCCCAUAGGCAGGGCACGUCCUACCCUUCUGACAUCCUCUCAUGCCCCCCACAACCCCCUGCAGCCGAGCUACCCAGACUUCUUCUGGGCUCUUGAACAAGCUAAACCCACCCCUACCUCACAGCCUCUGUGAAGACUGUUCCCUCUGCCCUCUCCCCACUGCACGCUGCUUCCCAUCUUCUCUUUCUUGUUGGUCACAUCUCACCUUAUACAUCACCUUCUCACAAAGGCCUUCCCUGGCCACCAAUCACAUCAGCUUAGUUCAGUUUUCUGCACAAAGGUAUCUUCAGUGUAUUUAUUCACUUUCCCUUUCAUGCAGUAGGAUAUAAACUCCAUGAGGGAGACACUUGUCUCAUUCACCAGUGUUUCCAAGUCUCCAACAAAUGAAACCAUCAAAUGGGUAGAAAACACAGAGAAGACGGAUGAAUGUGAAAACAAAAGCAAAAAUGACCAUAAUCUCCACCGUUUGAAGAUGCCCAAUGUCACGCUGUGGAUGCACUUCCUUUCAGUCUGUUUUUCUACACAUGCGUAUAUUAAAACUGGGGGAUUAUGAUGUUUAUAGUAGUGUUCUGUUUACAUUUCCCGUGAAAGGAG
ensembl:lncRNA